rnacentral:rRNA from 1 species
GAUGAACGCUGGCGGCGUGCCUAAUACAUGCAAGUCGAGCGAACGGACGAGAAGCUUGCUUCUCUGAUGUUAGCGGUGGACGGGUGAGUAACACGUGGAUAACCUACCUAUAAGACUGGGAUAACUUCGGGAAACCGGAGCUAAUACCGGAUAAUAUUUUGAACCGCAUGGUUCAAAAGUGAAAGACGGUCUUGCUGUCACUUAUAGAUGGAUCCGCGCUGCAUUAGCUAGUUGGUAAGGUAACGGCUUACCAAGGCAACGAUGCAUAGCCGACCUGAGAGGGUGAUCGGCCACACUGGAACUGAGACACGGUCCAGACUCCUACGGGAGGCAGCAGUAGGGAAUCUUCCGCAAUGGGCGAAAGCCUGACGGAGCAACGCCGCGUGAGUGAUGAAGGUCUUCGGAUCGUAAAACUCUGUUAUUAGGGAAGAACAUAUGUGUAAGUAACUGUGCACAUCUUGACGGUACCUAAUCAGAAAGCCACGGCUAACUACGUGCCAGCAGCCGCGGUAAUACGUAGGUGGCAAGCGUUAUCCGGAAUUAUUGGGCGUAAAGCGCGCGUAGGCGGUUUUUUAAGUCUGAUGUGAAAGCCCACGGCUCAACCGUGGAGGGUCAUUGGAAACUGGAAAACUUGAGUGCAGAAGAGGAAAGUGGAAUUCCAUGUGUAGCGGUGAAAUGCGCAGAGAUAUGGAGGAACACCAGUGGCGAAGGCGACUUUCUGGUCUGUAACUGACGCUGAUGUGCGAAAGCGUGGGGAUCAAACAGGAUUAGAUACCCUGGUAGUCCACGCCGUAAACGAUGAGUGCUAAGUGUUAGGGGGUUUCCGCCCCUUAGUGCUGCAGCUAACGCAUUAAGCACUCCGCCUGGGGAGUACGACCGCAAGGUUGAAACUCAAAGGAAUUGACGGGGACCCGCACAAGCGGUGGAGCAUGUGGUUUAAUUCGAAGCAACGCGAAGAACCUUACCAAAUCUUGACAUCCUUUGACAACUCUAGAGAUAGAGCUUUCCCCUUCGGGGGACAAAGUGACAGGUGGUGCAUGGUUGUCGUCAGCUCGUGUCGUGAGAUGUUGGGUUAAGUCCCGCAACGAGCGCAACCCUUAAGCUUAGUUGCCAUCAUUAAGUUGGGCACUCUAAGUUGACUGCCGGUGACAAACCGGAGGAAGGUGGGGAUGACGUCAAAUCAUCAUGCCCCUUAUGAUUUGGGCUACACACGUGCUACAAUGGACAAUACAAAGGGCAGCGAAACCGCGAGGUCAAGCAAAUCCCAUAAAGUUGUUCUCAGUUCGGAUUGUAGUCUGCAACUCGACUACAUGAAGCUGGAAUCGCUAGUAAUCGUAGAUCAGCAUGCUACGGUGAAUACGUUCCCGGGUCU